rnacentral:rRNA from 1 species
CCAACAGGGAUUGCCCUAGUAACGGCGAGUGAAGCGGCAACAGCUCAAAUUUGAAAUCUGGCGUCUUCGGCGUCCGAGUUGUAAUUUGCAGAGGGCGCUUUGGCAUUGGCAGCGGUCCAAGUUCCUUGGAACAGGACGUCACAGAGGGUGAGAAUCCCGUACGUGGUCGCUAGCCUUUACCGUGUAAAGCCCCUUCGACGAGUCGAGUUGUUYGGGAAUGCAGCUCUAAAUGGGAGGUAAAUUUCUUCUAAAGCUAAAUACUGGCCAGAGACCGAUAGCGCACAAGUAGAGUGAUCGAAAGAUGAAAAGCACUUUGGAAAGAGAGUUAAAAAGCACGUGAAAUUGUUGAAAGGGAAGCGCUUGCAGCCAGACUUGCCUGUAGUUGCUCAUCCGGGUUUCUACCCGGUGCACUCUUCUACGGGCAGGCCAGCAUCAGUUUGGGCGGUUGGAUAAAGGUCUCUGUCAUGUACCUCCUUUCGGGGAGAACUUAUAGGGGAGACGACAUGCAACCAGCCCGGACUGAGGUCCGCGCAUCUGCUAGGAUGCUGGCGUAAUGGCUGUAAGCGGCCCGUCUUGAAACACGGACCAAGGAGUCUAACAUCUAUGCGAGUGUUUGGGUGUCAAGCCCGAACGCGUAAUGAAAGUGAACGGAGGUGGGAACCUUUCGGGGUGCACCAUCGACCGAUCCUGAUGUCUUCGGAUGGAUUUGAGUAAGAGCAUAGCUGUUGGGACCCGAAAGAUGGUGAACUAUGCUUGAAUAGGGUGAAGCCAGAGGAAACUCUGGUGGAGGCUCGCAGCGGUUCUGACGUGCAAAUCGAUCGUCAAAUUUGGGCAUAGGGGCGAAAGACUAAUCGAACU